rnacentral:rRNA from 1 species
ACAUGCAGUCGAGCGGUAGAGAGAAGCUUGCUUCUCUUGAAAGCGGCGGACGGGUGAGUAAUGCCUAGGAAUCUGCCUGGUAGUGGGGGAUAACGCUCGGAAACGGACGCUAAUACCGCAUACGUCCUACGGGAGAAAGCAGGGGACCUUCCGGCCUUGCGCUAUCAGAUGAGCCUAGGUCGGAUUAGCUAGUUGGUGAGGUAAUGGCUCACCAAGGCGACGAUCCGUAACUGGUCUGAGAGGAUGAUCAGUCACACUGGAACUGAGACACGGUCCAGACUCCUACGGGAGGCAGCAGUGGGGAAUAUUGGACAAUGGGCGAAAGCCUGAUCCAGCCAUGCCGCGUGUGUGAAGAAGGUCUUCGGAUUGUAAAGCACUUUAAGUUGGGAGGAAGGGCAGUAACCUAAUACGUUAUUGUUUUGACGUUACCGACAGAAUAAGCACCGGCUAACUCUGUGCCAGCAGCCGCGGUAAUACAGAGGGUGCAAGCGUUAAUCGGAAUUACUGGGCGUAAAGCGCGCGUAGGUGGUUUGUUAAGUUGAAUGUGAAAUCCCCGGGCUCAACCUGGGAACUGCAUCCAAAACUGGCAAGCUAGAGUAGGGCAGAGGGUGGUGGAAUUUCCUGUGUAGCGGUGAAAUGCGUAGAUAUAGGAAGGAACACCAGUGGCGAAGGCGACCACCUGGGCUCAUACUGACACUGAGGUGCGAAAGCGUGGGGAGCAAACAGGAUUAGAUACCCUGGUAGUCCACGCCGUAAACGAUGUCAACUAGCCGUUGGAAUCCUUGAGAUUUUAGUGGCGCAGCUAACGCAUUAAGUUGACCGCCUGGGGAGUACGGCCGCAAGGUUAAAACUCAAAUGAAUUGACGGGGGCCCGCUCAAGCGGUGGAGCAUGUGGCUUAAUGGGAC